rnacentral:rRNA from 1 species
GACGUAGGGCGCGAGCGUUGUCCGGAUUUAUUGGGCGUAAAGAGCUCGUAGGCGGCUUGUCGCGUCGACUGUGAAAACCCGAGGCUCAACUUCGGGCUUGCAGUCGAUACGGGCAGGCUAGAGUUCGGUAGGGGAGACUGGAAUUCCUGGUGUAGCGGUGAAAUGCGCAGAUAUCAGGAGGAACACCGGUGGCGAAGGCGGGUCUCUGGGCCGAUACUGACGCUGAGGAGCGAAAGCGUGGGGAGCGAACAGG